GUCUUUUUGAUUUUGAUUUAAAGUCUGGCCUGCCCAAUGAUUAUUUGAAUGGCCGCAGUAUCUUGACUGUGCAAAGGUAGCAUAAUCAUUAGUUUUUUAAUUGAAAGCUGGAAUGAAAGGUUUGAUGAGAAAAUAACUGUCUCUGCAUGAAUGAUUUAGAACUUCAAUUUUAAGUGAAAAAGCUUAAAUUUUUUAUAAAGACGAGAAGACCCUAUAGAGUUUUAUAUUUGACUUUAUUCAGGGAUUUCGGUAUUAAUUUUUCUGUUUUAGGUUAAAUAUUUUAUUGGGGCGAUGGAAAAAUUGAGUAAACUUUUUUUUGUUUGUUACAUUUAUAUAUGAUUAUUUGAUCCUAAAUUUUGGAUUACAAGAUUAAAUUACCUUAGGGAUAACAGCGUAAUUUUUUUUGGAGAGUUCUUAUCGAUAAAAAAGUUUGCGA
rnacentral:rRNA from 1 species